GGGGGUGUAAAUUUUUCUCAUUUCAGAUUUCAUAAAUAAGAAGAAAAUUUCUUCAAACAUUUUUUUGAGAGGAUUAAUAUUCAACAGCAUAGUGAAUUGCUUAAAGGCAAAAAAAAUAUUUCAAGUUCAUUAGACCACAUUCAUUCUGUGUCAGAAACCUAUGCUGUGUCAACUAUUUAAUCACAAUCCAAAUUUAGAGCUGAAUCCAGCUUGAAUGUUGUGUCCAUACUUGCCCCAACCGUUCAGGGUCCAACCUCUGCGGUCGUAUAAAGCUGCGCCCUGUGGAGCAUCUGGUUUAUAUAUACUUGCAUCAACUUUAAAAUAAGUGUUGGUGGGUUAAAACAUGCCUCCUUUUUUCUAUUUUUGGAUUGUUAAUUAUUUUGUAGAAUCAACUGCUUCAUUGUUUCUAAACAAAGACAUUUAUUGCUUUAAUUUGCUUAUAAAUAGACAUAGGCAGUCUUUUAAAAAUAAUUAACAAAGGAAACUUUAAAAAUUUCAGCAUCAUUAAUUAAAGAUACAAUAGUACUUAUGUAUUUCGCCAUUCUUAUUUGUAAAAGGAACUGAAUUACUUGAUCUAUAAAAAAACCACUCAGAAGUAUGACUUAAUAAUUAUGUUAUUGUACUUUUUUGCUAUGUUGCACAUAGUAACAGUUAAAGUAUGGGAAUACAAAUAUUUUAUUCUGAUUUCACAAGAUCCCCAAUACUGUUAUAAGUUAUCAACAUUCAUAUCUGUAGAUAUUGUUAUUUUAACACAAUGAAUGUAGAUGACAAAAUUGUUCCUGGUCUUAGUCAAAAUUAAGCUAUUUGUAGGGAAAUUCUGACACAAAGUGUAUAGGGAAAACAACACUCAAAAUCAAGCUAUUUGUAAGGAAAACAACAUUUUUUUGAAUUUCUGGAAUCUAAAAAAGUUUUAUUGAAAUUUGGAAAUUUAACAUAUUAGGGUAGGGUACUAAGUACCUUUGGUAGAUCCCUACAGGUAGUAAAUUAUAAGAUGCUUGUAUUACAGAGACAGAGAAACCAGAAUAUAUCAAAUUAGUACCCAAUGUUGGAAGUGUUAUCUCAUUGACGGCAUGACUUCAACAUGGGUUAUUUGCAUAGCUAGUCAAAUAGUCCCGUACAUUGAAGACGUGGUAGCCAAGUUAAAAGCCUUGUCAUGGGGUUUUUGAUUAUGAAUUUACUUGGCCGUUUUUAUAUUGAUUAUUUGAUUUCCAAACCAAAUUUUUCAUGAUUAUUUGAUAAGCUAACAUAUGUUCUUUGACCUUUACUGUUUUACUUUUACAAAUUGUGACUUGGAUGGAUGAUUGUCUCAUACCACC
rnacentral:lncRNA from 1 species